rnacentral:tRNA from 1 species
GCCUGGUUGGCUCAGUUGGUUUAGCGUCUGACUUGGGCUCAGGUCACGAUCUCACAGUUUGUGGGUUCGAGCCCCACACGGGGCU